UACGUAGGGCGCAAGCGUUGUCCGGAAUUAUUGGGCGUAAAGAGCUCGUAGGCGGUCUGUCGCGUCCGUUGUGAAAACUCGAGGCUCAACCUCGGGCUUGCAGUGGAUACGGGCAGACUAGAGUGCGGUAGGGGAGACUGGAAUUCCUGGUGUAGCGGUGGAAUGCGCAGAUAUCAGGAGGAACACCGAUGGCGAAGGCAGGUCUCUGGGCCGCAACUGACGCUGAGGCGCGAAAAGCCCAGGGGAGCAAAACGGGG
rnacentral:rRNA from 1 species